rnacentral:misc_RNA from 1 species
UCCGGUUUGUCACCGGCAGUCUCAUUAGAGUGCCCAACUGAAUGUAGCAACUAAUGACAAGGGUUGCGCUCGUUACGGGACUUAACCCAACAUCUCACGACACGAGCUGACGACAGCCAUGCAGCACCUCUCCAAGCGCCCCGAAGGGAGACCCUCUUUCAAGGGCUGUCACUUGAAGUUCAAACCCAGGUAAGGUUUUUCGCGUUGCGUCGAAUUAAACCACAUGCUCCACCGCUUGUGCGGGCCCCCGUCAAUUCCUUUGAGUUUCAUUCUUGCGAACGUACUCCCCAGGUGGGGUGCUUAAUGCGUUAGCUACGGCACUGAAGGGGUCGAUACCUCCAACACCUAGCACCCAUCGUUUACAGCGUGGACUAC